GCCACUGGGUGUAGUGCUACGUCUAGCUUCUAUCUUUAGAAGUUUCCUUCCAAAAAUGCAAGGCUGGGAGGAUGCUGCUGCUCAACAGGUAGCUGUUCCAUAGAAACAAGGAGCACUGCACCUACUGGCUGCUGGUGAAGCUAAAACGUUUGAUCCAGGAGCCCCUGCUCCAAUCAUGACCUCUUCAGCAAACUGCACUGGCUCUGGAAGACUCCGCUCUCUGUAAGACAGAGCCAGUAAAUUCUAGAUGAAUCUGCUCACUGGGAA
rnacentral:lncRNA from 1 species